rnacentral:rRNA from 1 species
AGUGGACGCUGGCGGUAGGCCUAACACAUGCCAGUCGAACGGCAGCACAGUAAGAGCUUGCUCUUACGGGUGGCGAGUGGCGGACGGGUGAGGAAUACAUCGGAAUCUACUUUUUCGUGGGGGAUAACGUAGGGAAACUUACGCUAAUACCGCAUACGACCUACGGGUGAAAGCAGGGGAUCUUCGGACCUUGCGCGAUUGAAUGAGCCGAUGUCGGAUUAGCUAGUUGGCGGGGUAAAGGCCCACCAAGGCGACGAUCCGUAGCUGGUCUGAGAAGAUGAUCAGCCACACUGGAACUGAGACACGGUCCAGACUCCUACGGGAGGCAGCAGUAGGGAAUAUUGGACAAUGGGCGCAAGCCUGAUCCAGCCAUACCGCGUGGGUGAAGAAGGCCUUCGGGUUGUAAAGCCCUUUUGUUGGGAAAGAAAAGCAGCAGGUUAAUACCCCGCUGUUCUGACGGUACCCAAAGAAUAAGCACCGGCUAACUUCGUG